rnacentral:rRNA from 1 species
AUUGAACGCUGGCGGAAUGCUUUACACAUGCAAGUCGAACGGCAGCACGGGGCAACCUGGUGGCGAGUGGCGAACGGGUGAGUAAUACAUCGGAACGUGCCCAGUCGUGGGGGAUAACGUAGCGAAAGCUACGCUAAUACCGCAUACGAUCUACGGAUGAAAGCGGGGGACUCGCAAGAGCCUCGCGCGAUUGGAGCGGCCGAUGGCAGAUUAGGUAGUUGGUGGGGUAAAGGCUCACCAAGCCUGCGAUCUGUAGCUGGUCUGAGAGGACGACCAGCCACACUGGAACUGAGACACGGUCCAGACUCCUACGGGAGGCAGCAGUGGGGAAUUUUGGACAAUGGGCGCAAGCCUGAUCCAGCCAUUCCGCGUGCAGGAUGAAGGCCUC